rnacentral:ribozyme from 1 species
UGCCUGAGGCUGAGAAAAAGCUUGAUGGCUUUGAUGACAACUUCAAAAUUUUUGAUGGGUUGGCUCUUGACGAUAUCAAUGCCUUCGUUGAUGAAGAUAUUGACGCCAUCAUGGCAAUGGAG